AGUGGGGAAUCUUGGACAAUGGGCGCAAGCCUGAUCCAGCGACGCCGCGUGGGUGAUGAAGGCCUUCGGGUUGUAAAGCCCUUUCACCGGGGACGAUGAUGACGGUACCCGGCGAAGAAGCACCGGCUAACUCCGUGCCAGCAGCCGCGGUAAGACGGAGGGUGCUAGCGUUGUUCGGAAUCACUGGGCGUAAAGGGCGCGUAGGCGGCUAUGGCAGUCGGGUGUGAAAGCCCGGAGCUCAACUCCGGAAUUGCACUCGAGACGCCAUGGCUGGAGGUCGGAAGAGGAGGGUGGAAUACCCAGUGUAGAGGUGAAAUUCGUAGAUAUUGGGUGGAACACCGGUGGCGAAAGCGGCUCUCUGGUCCGAACCUGACGCUGAGGCGCGAAAGCGUGGGGAGCAAA
rnacentral:rRNA from 1 species